AGAGUUUGAUCCUGGCUCAGGAUGAACGCUAGCGGCAGGCCUAACACAUGCAAGUCGAGGGGUAGCAGGAUAAAGCUUGCUUUAUUGCUGACGACCGGCGCACGGGUGCGUAACGCGUAUGCAACCUACCUUAUACUGGGGUAUAGCCCGGAGAAAUUCGGAUUAAUCCCCCAUAGUAUUAUCGGAUCGCAUGGUUUGAUAAUUAAAGGUUACGGUAUAAGAUGGGCAUGCGUCCCAUUAGCUAGAUGGUGAGGUAACGGCUCACCAUGGCGACGAUGGGUAGGGGGCCCGAGAGGGUGGUCCCCCACACUGGUACUGAGACACGGACCAGACUCCUACGGGAGGCAGCAGUGAGGAAUAUUGGUCAAUGGGCGCAAGCCUGAACCAGCCAUGCCGCGUGCAGGAAGACGGUCCUAUGGAUUGUAAACUGCUUUUAUUCGGGAAUAAACCUCCUUACGUGUAGGGAGCUGAAGGUACCGAAUGAAUAAGCACCGGCUAACUCCGUGCCAGCAGCCGCGGUAAU
rnacentral:rRNA from 1 species